rnacentral:rRNA from 1 species
AUUGAACGCUGGCGGCAGGCUUAACACAUGCAAGUCGAGCGAGCGGCGGACGGGUGAGUACUGUCGGGGAAACUGCCUGAUGGCGGGGGAUAACUACUGGAAACGGUAGCUAAUACAACCUACCAUCAGAUGUGCCCAGCUGGGAGUGGAUCGUAGGUGGGGUAAAGGCUCACUUAGGCUACGAUCCCUAGCUGGUCUGAGAGGAUGACCAGCCAGCCUGGAACUGAGACACGGCCCAGACUCCUGCGGGAGGCAGCAGUGGGGAAUAUUGCGCAAUGGGCGCAAGCCUGAUGCUGCCAUGCGGAGGGUGUGAAGAAGGCCUGCGGGUUGUAAAGCGCUGUCAGCGGGGGGGCGUUACCCGCAGAAGAAGCACCGGCUAACUCCGUGCCAGCAGCCGCGGUAAUAC